UUUGAUCCUGCUCAGGACGAACGCUGGCGGCGUGCCUAAUACAUGCAAGUCGAGCGGACCGACGGGAGCUUGCUCCCUUAGGUCAGCGGCGGACGGGUGAGUAACACGUGGGUAACCUGCCUGUAAGACUGGGAUAACUCCGGGAAACCGGGGCUAAUACCGGAUGCUUGAUUGAACCGCAUGGUUCAAUCAUAAAAGGUGGCUUUUAGCUACCACUUACAGAUGGACCCGCGGCGCAUUAGCUAGUUGGUGAGGUAACGGCUCACCAAGGCGACGAUGCGUAGCCGACCUGAGAGGGUGAUCGGCCACACUGGGACUGAGACACGGCCCAGACUCCUACGGGAGGCAGCAGUAGGGAAUCUUCCGCAAUGGACGAAAGUCUGACGGAGCAACGCCGCGUGAGUGAUGAAGGUUUUCGGAUCGUAAAACUCUGUUGUUAGGGAAGAACAAGUACCGUUCGAAUAGGGCGGCACCUUGACGGUACCUAACCAGAAAGCCACGGCUAACUACGUGCCAGCAGCCGCGGUAAUACGUAGGUGGCAAGCGUUGUCCGGAAUUAUUGGGCGUAAAGCGCGCGCAGGCGGUUUCUUAAGUCUGAUGUGAAAGCCCCCGGCUCAACCGGGGAGGGUCAUUGGAAACUGGGGAACUUGAGUGCAGAAGAGGAGAGUGGAAUUCCACGUGUAGCGGUGAAAUGCGUAGAGAUGUGGAGGAACACCAGUGGCGAAGGCGACUCUCUGGUCUGUAAACUGACGCUGAGGCGCGAAAGCGUGGGGAGCGAACAGGAUUAGAUACCCUGGUAGUCCACGCCGUAAACGAUGAGUGCUAAGUGUUAGAGGGUUUCCGCCCUUUAGUGCUGCAGCAAACGCAUUAAGCACUCCGCCUGGGGAGUACGGUCGCAAGACUGAAACUCAAAGGAAUUGACGGGGGCCCGCACAAGCGGUGGAGCAUGUGGUUUAAUUCGAAGCAACGCGAAGAACCUUACCAGGUCUUGACAUCCUCUGACAACCCUAGAGAUAGGGCUUCCCCUUCGGGGGCAGAGUGACAGGUGGUGCAUGGUUGUCGUCAGCUCGUGUCGUGAGAUGUUGGGUUAAGUCCCGCAACGAGCGCAACCCUUGAUCUUAGUUGCCAGCAUUCAGUUGGGCACUCUAAGGUGACUGCCGGUGACAAACCGGAGGAAGGUGGGGAUGACGUCAAAUCAUCAUGCCCCUUAUGACCUGGGCUACACACGUGCUACAAUGGGCAGAACAAAGGGCAGCGAAGCCGCGAGGCUAAGCCAAUCCCACAAAUCUGUUCUCAGUUCGGAUCGCAGUCUGCAACUCGACUGCGUGAAGCUGGAAUCGCUAGUAAUCGCGGAUCAGCAUGCCGCGGUGGAAUACGUUCCCGGGCCUUGUACACACCGCCCGUCACACCACGAGAGUUUGUAACACCCGAAGUCGGUGAGGUAACCUUUUGGAGCCAGCCGCCGAAGGUGGGACAGAUGAUUGGGUGA
rnacentral:rRNA from 1 species